GUCUUUAUGAAAUAUUUAUAAAGUCUGGCCUGCCCACUGAAUUUUUUAAAGGGCCGCGGUAUUCUGACCGUGCAAAGGUAGCAUAAUCACUAGUCUCUUAAUUGGAGGCUCGUAUGAAUGGUCGCACAAGAAAUAAGUUGUCUUAAUUGAAGUGAUUGAAUUUAACUUUUAAGUAAAAAGGCUUAAAUGCAUUAAAGUGACGAUAAGACCCUAUAAAACUUUAUAAAUUUAAAUUAAAAAAAGUAUUAGUAGUUUAAAAUUUUUUAUUGUUAAAUUUAUUUUAUUGGGGCGAUACAAAUAUAAUAAAUAACUGUUUAUAUAUUUAAAUGACGAAUAAUCAUGAAUAAUUAAAUGAUCCUUUAAUAAAGAUUGUAAGAUUAAGUUACUUUAGGGAUAACAGCGUAAUUUUCUUUGAGAGUUCAUAUCUACAAGAAAGACUACGACCUCGAUGUUGAAUUAAAAAAUCUUUAAGGUGUAGCAGCUUUAAUAGAAGGUCUGUUCGACCUUUAAAUUUUU
rnacentral:rRNA from 1 species